CUUUGCAACCUUCUGUAGCUGCCACAGCCAACACCAGCACUCUUCCCACUGUUACCACUGCCCCCCCUGCUGCUUUUCAUAACAUCCCCUCAGUCAACGAAGGUUGGAGCCAGCUAGCAGCCAUGCACUGUGUGAUGCUCCCUGACCUCCUUGGACUGGACAAGUUCAGACCUCCUCUGCUAGAGAUGUUGGCGAGAAGAUGGCAGGACCGCUGUCUGGAGGUGCGUGAAGCAGCUCAAGCUCUCUUACUGGCUGAGUUGAGGCGGAUUGGCCAAUCAGGACGUAAAGACACCAUUGACUUGUGGGCUCCAUACCUGCCUCAGUAUGUGGACACUGUCAGCUCCCGUAAGUACCCA